GCUGCAUUGCCCUGAAAAUACCUUGAAUCUUAAGGAAUUGCUAGAAGCACUGGACGCCCUGCUUCAGACAUUUGCUGAGUUCUGCCAAUCUAAAAAUGGCCAUUUUUGAAAGGCCAAAGAGAUAAUUUUUAUUCUGAAGACAUAGAUUUUCUGUGAGAGACAAUCUUUUUCACAUAUCUCAAGGAAGAGAAUGAAUUCCUUUUGAGAAAAAAAAAGCAUGACGUCAUGUACCUAAAUGCCAUCAAGUGCAUUAAACCGAAUAGUUCAACACCACGGACAGCGACUGCACCUGUCUGGAUGAAGGUCUGUGAUGAGACGUGUACGACCUUUUUCAGAACCAUGGACAGUACCACAAGCUUCAAGUUCAACGCCAUUAUACUGUAAUCCACACUAAAGCACCAUAAUGUGUUAUUUGAAACCUCAAAAUGCAACCUCCACAUGAAGAGUAUCAAAAAUUAAUUAAAAUGAAAAUAAAUGUUUGUCUUCACAUUUUAAUAGGUCUG
rnacentral:lncRNA from 1 species